CUUCUUUUUCCACCGGAGCUUGCUCCACCGGAAAAAGAGGAGUGGCGAACGGGUGAGUAACACGUGGGUAACCUGCCCAUCAGAAGGGGAUAACACUUGGAAACAGGUGCUAAUACCGUAUAACAAUCGAAACCGCAUGGUUUUGAUUUGAAAGGCGCUUUCGGGUGUCGCUGAUGGAUGGACCCGCGGUGCAUUAGCUAGUUGGUGAGGUAACGGCUCACCAAGGCCACGAUGCAUAGCCGACCUGAGAGGGUGAUCGGCCACAUUGGGACUGAGACACGGCCCAAACUCCUACGGGAGGCAGCAGUAGGGAAUCUUCGGCAAUGGACGAAAGUCUGACCGAGCAACGCCGCGUGAGUGAAGAAGGUUUUCGGAUCGUAAAACUCUGUUGUUAGAGAAGAACAAGGAUGAGAGUAACUGUUCAUCCCUUGACGGUAUCUAACCAGAAAGCCACGGCUAACUACGUGCCAGCAGCCGCGGUAAUACGUAGGUGGCAAGCGUUGUCCGGAUUUAUUGGGCGUAAAGCGAGCGCAGGCGGUUUCUUAAGUCUGAUGUGAAAGCCCCCGGCUCAACCGGGGAGGGUCAUUGGAAACUGGGAGACUUGAGUGCAGAAGAGGAGAGUGGAAUUCCAUGUGUAGCGGUGAAAUGCGUAGAUAUAUGGAGGAACACC
rnacentral:rRNA from 1 species